rnacentral:rRNA from 1 species
GACGAAGGAUGCAAGCGUUAUCCGGAUUCAUUGGGCUUAAAGGGCGCGUAGGUGGACUGAUAAGUCAGUGGUGAAAUCUCUGGGCUUAACCCAGAAAUUGCCAUUGAUACUGUUGGUCUUGAGUACAGUUGCUGUGGGCGGAAUAUGACAUGUAGUGGUGAAAUACAUAGAGAUGUCAUAGAACACCGAUUGCGAAGGCAGCUCACAAAGCUGUAACUGACACUGAGGCUCGAAAGUGCGGGGAUCAAACAGG